rnacentral:lncRNA from 1 species
ACUCAAACUUGGGUCUCCUGAUUUCCAACGUAGGCUUAUUUCCAUUCUAUUGUGCUCCUUUUCUAGCUUUGAUGGGAAGCAUCCCUGGUGGGAAAAGCACUGACUAUGAGUUCAAGUCCUGCCUCUGGCUCUUGCUGACUUUGUGACCUGAAGCAAGUCACAACCUAUCUGUGCCUCACUUUCCUCAUCUGUAAAAUCAAGAGAUUGAACUAGACGGCCUCUGAGGGCCCCUUGAACUCUAAAUCUCUGUGCCAUGAAGCUUGUGUGCAGCUACUAUCCCAGCCAUUCAACAAUCCCAGUAAGUACGAGCUUACUUACUAUUCAGCAUCAGUAUAGUCUCUCUUUUGCCCUUCAGCUUUCAUCUGGUGAAUGUCUUUCAGCAAUCUCCAGGCUUGUCAGCACCACUAUUAGAUGGUGGUCAGGACCAGGGCAAGCUGAAGGGGAAGGCUCAAAUCAAUCAGUUUUGCUAGGAAUGAAUUGUUUUGGUAAAAAGAUACAGAGAGGAAGUUUGAAAUUUGUGCCUGAAAAGACCUGUUUCCCCUCAUUAGCACAGAUAAUUAUGGCCUCUAAUCAUCAGCAUCCACUUUUUCUUGCUGACUUCCUGGGUGGUCUACAGUUUACCCCCAAAGCCUACCCCACCAUUACAGCUUCCCUUUUCCCAGAGGAAGAAGAGGAUGAAGAGGAUGAAAAGAACCACGAGUCUCCCUGGAGAGACUGCAAUCGCAAACAAGUUUCUCCCAGAAGCACUGUGCUUACAGAAGCAACAUGGCAGUGGAGAGAGUAGAUGGUAUGCUGGGCUUGGAGUGGAGCUCUUCUGGGGUAGGUACUUACUUGUUGUAUGACCCUGUUCAAUUGUCUAACCUUAAUCUGCCUCAGUUUCCUUGCCUUGGAAAUGGGAAUAAAUAAUACCUGGACUUCUUACUUUACA